AUACUUGUCAAAGUGUAAAAGGGUCCUGCAGUCUGUUUGUCGAACGCCAAUUAACCAGUUUCCUCGUUUUCUACAACUUGCCACUCGUUUUUCCAAUUUUUACCGCGUGUCAUUCGAUAUGAUGAUAUCAGAUAUCAGGAAAAUCGCUAGAUGCUAACGCUAGAAAUACCACAGCAGCGAAAAUGACUGGUUCUACAAUUUUAUAAAUUUGUCAA
rnacentral:misc_RNA from 1 species